CUCAGUGCGCGAGUCCUGACGGGAUCGAGGAGGGGAUCGCAGGCAUGGGGGACCCUUUCAUCAGGCACAUCGUCCUCCUGGGCUUUGAGAAGCGUUUCGCCCCGAAUCAGCACUUUGUCUACAUGUUCCUGGUAAAAUGGCAGGACCUCUCAGAGAAGGUGGUCUACCGCCGAUUCACAGAGAUCUAUGAGUUCCACAAACUGUUAAAAGAAAUGUUUCCCAUUGAAUCUGGACAAAUCAACUCAGAGAACAGAAUUAUCCCCCAUCUCCCAG